ensembl:snoRNA U3 Small nucleolar RNA U3
AAGACUAUACUUUCAGGGAUCAUUUCUAUAGUUCGUUACUAGAGAAGUUUCUCUGACUGUGUAGAGCACCCGAAAUGGAAU